AUUGAACGCUGGCGGCAGGCCUAACACAUGCAAGUCGAACGAGUGGCGGACGGGUGAGUAAUGUCUGGGAAACUGCCCGAUGGAGGGGGAUAACUACUGGAAACGGUAGCUAAUACCGCAUACCAUCGGAUGUGCCCAGAUGGGAUUAGCUAGUAGGUGGGGGAACGGCGCACCUAGGCGACGAGCCCUAGCUGGUCUGAGCGGAUGACCAGCCACAGUGGAACUGAGACACGGUCCAGACGCCUACGGGAGGCAGCAGUGGGGAAUAGUGGACAAUGGGCGGAAGCCUGAGGCAGGCAUGCCGCGUGUAUGAGGAAGGCCUUCGGGUUGUAAAGUACUUUCAGCGAGGAGGCGUUACUCGCAGAAGAAGCACCGGCUAACGCCGGGCCAGCAGCCGCGGUAAUUC
rnacentral:rRNA from 1 species